AGAGAAUAGCUUAUUCUUGUAGUGCAUCCUUGUCUAUCAUUCAUUUUAUAGGAAAUUGUACCACUGUCGUAUGCAGUUAUGCUUUCCGCAAGCCAUGUGAGCAAUUUGGCUAAGUGAUUUGUUCGACGCCUAUGUUUCUCACUCCUGCCGGGUCCCUGUUGGCAAUGGGAUAUGUAUAAGUGCAUACAAAUCAAUUAAAGAGCAGAAACUUCCUUUCUCUGUUUUGCUACAAUGUUCCAAGUUUUGCCUGUGCAAAUGCAGCAGCUUUGCUGGUGUACUAAAGUUCCGGUGCUACUUGCAUUUAAUUUUUUAUUAGAGACCUGCAGGACUUCAUGGAAAAACAGCACCAUGUGAGUCCUGUUGUGACGUACACACAGGGACAAAAAAUGGUGCCCGACGACAGGGAGAGGGAACUGCAGGCCCCAAAAGCAGUGGACAGCCCAACUGGCCAUGUGGAGCUGCCUAAACAAAAGAAGGACCGGCCCUUACUGCAGCUCCUGCAAAAGCUAGAUGAGAUAGAAAAAAAUAGGGCAACGCGACACAAGGAGAAGAUGGCCCUGCUGGAGCGCUUCGUGAGCGCAUAUGAAACAAAAAAAUAAACAGCUUGUCUUCAUCAAAUCA
rnacentral:lncRNA from 1 species